AACGAACGCUGGCGGCAGGCUUAACACAUGCAAGUCGAACGCGUGCAGCAAUGCACGAGUGGCGCACGGGUGAGUAACGAGUGGAUAUCUGCCUUUUGGUUCGGAAUAACCCCGGGAAACUGGGGCUAAUACCGGAUGGUUCCUACGGGAUAAAGAUUUAUCGCCAAAAGAUGAGUCCGCGUCCGAUUAGCUAGUUGGUGAGGUAAUGGCUCACCAAGGCGACGAUCGGUAGCUGGUCUGAGAGGACGAUCAGCCACACUGGGACUGAGACACGGCCCAGACUCCUACGGGAGGCAGCAGUGGGGAAUAUUGGACAAUGGGGGCAACCCUGAUCCAGCCAUGCCGCGUGAGUGAUGAAGGCAUUCGGGUUGUAAAGCUCUUUUGGCGGGGACGAUGAUGACGGUACCCGCAGAAUAAGCCCCGGCUAACUUCGUG
rnacentral:rRNA from 1 species